AGGUCGACAGACCAAAUGAGGCCACCCGUCAAAAUAAAAUAUGCCAUAGGACAAUUAGGUCAAAAGAUCAAGCGAGGCCACCUGCCAAAAAAUGCCAUAGGGCAAUAAGGUCGAUAAAUCAAAAGUAAGGCCACCCGCAAACAAAUGUCGUAGAGCAAUCGUAUCGAUCAAAGGCAAUGCACCCAUCAGACGUCCGAAAUGAAAGAAACUACGCGACACAAAAGGCCGUAGGGAAAAAAGGACGUGGAAACAAGCAACAAUGCAUCAGAUGGCAAGCCGCAGGGCAAAGGAAACACAAGCAAGAACGAACGGACAAGUCUUACAGCAAACAAAAGCAAAAAUAACGGGAAAUAGUAAAGAACAAAGCAGGGGAACAAAGCCCAAAAUAAAAAGUACGUUACAAAAUUUUUUUGCCAUCUAUUUAUCAUCUGCAUCACCCCUA
rnacentral:lncRNA from 1 species